AGUUCUCGAAUAUUUGUCAUUUGCGGAGUGACACUCCGCAGGUUAUCCUUAUUGCAACAUUUUUGAGAGUGUGCUAUGGACUAUGUAAAAGAACAGGAAUAUCUUCAACGACUCUUUGACGAGGUAGAUACCGAUGCCGAGCCCGAUGACGACGAUAUUAUUGAAUUGAUUUAUAUUAAAAACAUGAUUUAGAAACAUGAAGCAAUAAUAUAAUUAUUAAAAAAG